rnacentral:rRNA from 1 species
GACGAACGCUGGCGGCGUGCUUAACACAUGCAAGUCGAACGGAAAGGCCCUGCUUUUGUGGGGUGCUCGAGUGGCGAACGGGUGAGUAACACGUGAGUAACCUGCCCUUGACUUUGGGAUAACUUCAGGAAACUGGGGCUAAUACCGGAUAGGAGCUCCUGCUGCAUGGUGGGGGUUGGAAAGUUUCGGCGGUUGGGGAUGGACUCGCGGCUUAUCAGCUUGUUGGUGGGGUAGUGGCUUACCAAGGCUUUGACGGGUAGCCGGCCUGAGAGGGUGACCGGCCACAUUGGGACUGAGAUACGGCCCAGACUGCUACGGGAGGCAGCAGUGGGGAAUAUUGCACAAUGGGCGGAAGCCUGAUGAAGCAACGCCGCGUGCGGGAUGACGGCCUUCGGGUUGUAAAACGCUUUCGCCUGUGACGAAGCGUGAGUGACGGUAAUGGGUAAAGAAGCACCGGCUAACUACGUG